GCCGAAAGUCUGUUUUGCUUCCCCCGAGCUACAGUACUCCAUCUUCCUCCUCCAGCCGACUGUCUCCCGUGCGGUGCACAGUGCCGCCGAUCCCCUUCCAAAAUCCGGCCACCUCGUUGCUCCUUUUUCCAAAUUAGUUGCGGGAAUGGAAUCCUCUCAAUCUCCUCUUCCUUUUCCCCAAGAAAUCCCCAAAUGUUUCUAUGGAAAUCCUUUCCAAUUUCGCGGUUCAAUCUUUCCUUUUUCCGGCGAAGAUCCUAAACUUUCCCGAGUUUUUCCCGUCGUUGUGCGCUUGAUCCCGAGCUCCCGUGCCUAUAUAAAGGACCCCCUAGUCGUCUUCUACCUAUCCCCUCAAGUCCCGUCCGCCGUCGUCGCCGGAAUCGCUCUCCCCGCGCUCGCCUUCUCUCUCCACCUCCGGCCGCCGCUCCAGCAGCCCCGCGCCGUCGCUAUGGUCGUCGCCUUCGGUCGCCGCUGCCGUCGUUGGGUUCGCGAGGAGGAGAAGAAGACCGGCCUCCACUUCCCCGUCGCCGAAGACCUCUGGAAGUACCUCGCCGACGUGAAUCCAAGCUUCGCCGCCGCCGGCCGCUGGUCCAGCCGCACCUCGCCGUCGCCUCGGCCGUCGCCCUCCUGUGCCGCCACCUCUCUCGGCUCUGCAAGGUCAAGAGCAAGCUCGGCAGCCAGUUCCCUUGCGUCGAAGACCUCGGGAAGGUCGCCGUCGUGAUCGCCAAGCCGUCGCCGACCUCGUCCACCCCUCUGUUGCCUCCGUUCGUCGCCGGAAAAUCGUCGCCGCCGUGGACAGUACCUCGCCGCCCUUUGAAGCUCGUCGCCGGCCAUCUUCCGUCGCCGUCUGUCGUCGCGUAAGUGUUGCUUGUCGUUUCCGUCGUUUCGAAGGUUCGUAAGUGCGUCGGAAGUGUUCCAGAAGACUUAUUGAAGACCGAAUAUUGCAAGUUGAAGACAAGUUGCGAUGGAGAAAACGUUUGGCUUAUACCCCAGUUGAGC